rnacentral:rRNA from 2 species
AAAUUGAAGAGUUUGAUCAUGGCUCAGAUUGAACGCUGGCGGCAGGCCUAACACAUGCAAGUCGAACGGUAGCACAGAGAGCUUGCUCUCGGGUGACGAGUGGCGGACGGGUGAGUAAUGUCUGGGAAACUGCCUGAUGGAGGGGGAUAACUACUGGAAACGGUGGCUAAUACCGCAUAAUGUCGCAAGACCAAAGAGGGGGACCUUCGGGCCUCUUGCCAUCAGAUGUGCCCAGAUGGGAUUAGCUAGUUGGUGAGGUAACGGCUCACCAAGG